GAAAUACAGCCCUGAUUUCGAAUUAAUUAUUAUAUAAUCUUUCUGCAAAAAGUAUCUUACAAAGAUCUCUAUCAGUAUUAGAAAACGACAAGAAAUGGGUUCAAAAGGAUCAUUAGAAUUUGCCAACGAGAUUGUGGUGAACAAUGGAAUGAACUGACUCCGAGACUAGUGGCAUCGUGAUCAAAUGGAUUCUCUUAUCAGGCGGAUACUGGCUUCCCUCGACAAGUAAGAAGAUUAUCUUUGGAGCUUUCCGGAGGAAAGCUCUCGUUAGCUUCCUCCUGCACGGACCGUGCACCAGCAGCAACGGCAGCCGCAGCAGCAGCAGCAGCAGCCGCAGCAGCAGCAGCAGCAGCAGCAGCAGCAGUAGCGUCGGCAGUACCAACAGCAAUUCAGAGCACAGUGAAUUGUGCUGAGCUCAUGCUGGCAAGACGACGUACGAGUGAUUUGCAUGCGAGCUCACAACCCGUGGGAGGAACGGGCAUAAUUU